GUCCACGCCGUAAACGAUGGAUACUAGCUGUUCGGAGCAAUCUGAGUGGCUAAGCGAAAGUGAUAAGUAUCCCACCUGGGGAGUACGCACGCAAGUGUGAAACUCAAAGGAAUUGACGGGGCCCGGCACAAGCGGUGGAGCAUGUGGUUUAAUUCGAUGAUACGCGAGGAACCUUACCAGGGCUUAAAUGUAGAUUGACAGGACUGGAAACAGUUUUCUUUCGGACAAUUUACAAGGUGCUGCAUGGUUGUCGU
rnacentral:rRNA from 1 species